rnacentral:rRNA from 1 species
GAUCAUGGCUCAGGAUGAACGCUGGCGGCGUGCCUAACACACGCAAGUCGAGCGAAGCACUUUGCUUAGAUUCUUCGGAUGAAGAGGAUUGUGACUGAGCGGCGGACGGGUGAGUAACGCGUGGGGUAACCUGCCUCAUACAGGGGGUAUAACAGUUAGAAAUGACUGCUAAUACCGCAUAAGACCACAGCACCGGCAUGGUGCGGGGGUAAAAACUCCGGUGGUAUGAGAUGGACCCG